rnacentral:tRNA from 1 species
UACUAGGAGGUUGUAUAUUGGGAGUACGGGGGGUUUUGAUCUCUCAGGUGCAGGUUCGAUUCCUGUUCUU